rnacentral:tRNA from 1 species
GCCGGAGUGGCGGAACUGGCAGACGCAGGGGACUUAAAAUCCUCCGCCUUCGGGCGUCCGGGUUCGAUUCCCGGCUCCGGCA